GGGAUGGCUAUAUUGCUGGGAGCAAACUCCAAGCUAAUAUGAAGCAUAUAAAUACAAGUUAUGCCUUGGGAUGAAAGACAAUUUCGAAUUAGCUUUGUCCACAAAGAAGGAAGCUAUAAGUAAUGCACCUAUGAAUUUCAUGGAGAGUUCGAUCCUGGCUCAAGAAUCCGCCCAAGGAGGGGCUCACGUCUGCUUAGCUAGUUGGUGAGGCAAUAGCUUACCACGACGAUGAUCAGUAGCUGGCCCGAGAGGAUGAUCAGCCACACUGGGAUUGAGACAUGGCCCAGACUCCUACGGGAGGCAGCAGUGGGGAAUUUUCCGCAAUGGGGGAAAGCUUGACGGAGCAAUGCCGCGUGGAGGUAAAAGGCCUACGGGUCAUGAACUUCUUUUCUCAGAGAAGAAGCAAUGACGGGAUCCGAGGAAUACGCACCGACUAACUCUGUGCAAGCAGCCGCGGUAAGACAGAAGAUGCAAGCGUUAUUCGGAAUGAUUGGGUGUAAAGCGUCUAUAGGUGGCUUUUCAAGUCCGCCGUCAAAUCCCAGGGCUCAACCCUGGACAGGUGUUGGAAACUACCAAGCUAGAGUAUGGUAGGGACAGAGGUAAUUUCCAGUGGAGCGGUGAAAUGCGUAGAGAUCAGAAAGAAAACCAACGGCGAAAGCACUCUGCUGGGCCGACACUGGCAUUGAGAGAUGAAAGCUAGAGGAGCGAAUGGGAUUAGGUACCCCAGUAGUCCCAGUUGUAAACGAUGGAUACUAGGCAUUGUGCGUAUCGACCCGUGCAGUGUUGUAGCUAAUGCUUUAAGUAUCCUGCCUGGGGAGUACAUUCGCAAGAAUGAAACCCAAAGGAAUUGACUGGGGCCCGCACAAGCGGUGGAGCAUGUGGUUUAAUUCGAUGCAAAGCGAAGAACCUUACCAAGGCUUGACAUGUCGCGAAUUCUCUUGAAAGAGAGGGGUGCUUCGGGAACACAGACACAUGUGGUGCAUGGCUGUCGUCAGCUCGUGCCGUAAGGUGUUAGGUCAAGUCCCGCAACAAGUGCAACCCUUGUGUUUAGUUGCCACCAUUGAGUUUGGAACCUUGAACAGACUGCCGGUGAUAAGCUGGAGGAAGGUGAGGAUGAUGUCAAGUCAUCAUGCCCCUUAUACCCUGGGCGACACACAUGCUACAAUGGUUAGGACAAAGGGUUGUGAUCCUGCGAAGGUGAGCUAACUCCAAAAACCCAUCCUCAGCUAGGAUUGCAGACUACAACUUGUCUGCAUGAAGCCGGAAUCGCUAGUAAUCGCCGGUCAGCCAUACAGCGGUGAAUUUGCUCCUGGGCCUUGUACACACUGCCUAUCACACUAUGGGAGUUGGCCAUGCCCGAAGUCGUUGCCUUAACUGCAAGGAGGGGGAUGCCGAAGGCGGGGCUAGUGACUGGAGUGAAGUCAUAUCAAGGUAGCCGUACUGGAAGGUGCGACUG
rnacentral:rRNA from 1 species